AUAUAUUUUUAUGAUGAUUGGAGGUUGGUGAUGAAAAGGCACAGUCUUUAGUCCACAAUUAUCAAUCUUUAGUCCAUCAAUACAAACACUCAAAAUGACAUGGAAUUUGAACUUGUUGAAUCAACUAAAUUUUUUUCUUCUCACUCGACUGGAAGUCAUUGGAUUAUGUAUAGAUUCUGGUGUUCUGACGGGGCUUUGCGGUCGAUCGUCUCCAGGACUGAAACACGACAUUUUAUACGUCUCGUCUUUUCUCGAUAUCUCUCUCCUUACCCAACUUCCGUGAACGAGUCUGGAGUGGCUCUCGGACGCGUCUAGUCGGUUUUAUGGCCACGGAGCGACUCAGAUACGUCUGACCCGUUGGGGGCUUUGGAGCGACUUACGAGAGCGAAGCGAGACGACCGAUUGUAUGGGAGAGGCGUGACUAGCGGAGAUGGCCCAACUUUUUGUCGUUGCUGGUCGAAUUCUGGCCACCAACUGACGUUUCCUCUCGGAGAAAGACGAUUCUCUCAUUACAUUCUUUGUCUGCGAUUGUUGCUUUGUCCAAACUGAUUAAAUGUGUUUCUUUUUCCUUAUGAAUUUACGGAGGACUGGUGAGAAUGGCUAAGCAGCCAUCGUAGAUUAAUUUAGCGAGUGACGAUAAUUUGCUAUUAGUUUACAUAAAUUCCGAACUGCCUGUUCUCACAUUUUUCUUUGUUUUACUAUACUCAAACAUU
rnacentral:lncRNA from 1 species